UACGGAGGGUGCAAGCGUUAUCCGGAUUUACUGGGUUUAAAGGGUGCGUAGGUGGCUUUGUAAGUCAGUGGUGAAAUCUCCGGGCUUAACCCGGAAACUGCCAUUGAUACUAUUUGUCUUGAAUACUGUGGAGGUCAGCGGAAUAUGUCAUGUAGCGGUGAAAUGCUUAGAUAUGACAUAGAACACCAAUUGCGAAGGCAGCUGGCUACACAAAUAUUGACACUGAGGCACGAAAGCGUGGGGAUCAAACAGG
rnacentral:rRNA from 1 species